rnacentral:lncRNA from 1 species
GAUAAAUUGGUCAUCAAAGUAGCUGUCAGAGAUGUUCUUCGUGAAGAACAGUUCGAGGUACCUCCUUUGGACCUCUAUAACUUGAUGAUCGUGUAACGUUUAUGUGAUCUAUCAAUUCCAGUGUGCAGACAACAUGUAGCACUACAACUAUAACACUUAACAUCAUCAUAACAACAUCAGAUCUAACCGGAAAUCGUUGGUCAAAUUAGACCACGGACAACUGUUCAAGAAUUUCUGGGUUCGCGGUUUUUGGCAGUUUGGUCAAUCAUGUUUG